CGUGAAGUUGGAAUUGCUAGUAAUCGCGGAUCAGCAUGCCGCGGUGAAUACGUUCCCGGGCCUUGUACACACCGCCCGUCACACCAUGGGAGCCGGUAAUACCCGAAGUCAGUAGUCUAACCGCAAGGAGGGCGCUGCCGAAGGUAGGAUUGGCGACUGGGGUGAAGUCGUAACAAGGUACC
rnacentral:rRNA from 1 species